rnacentral:rRNA from 1 species
AGACGAUGGGGAUGCGUUCCAUUAGAUAGUAGGCGGGGUAACGGCCCACCUAGUCUUCGAUGGAUAGGGGUUCUGAGAGGAAGGUCCCCCACAUUGGAACUGAGACACGGUCCAAACUCCUACGGGAGGCAGCAGUGAGGAAUAUUGGUCAAUGGGCGAGAGCCUGAACCAGCCAAGUAGCGUGAAGGAUGACUGCCCUAUGGGUUGUAAACUUCUUUUAUAAAGGAAUAAAGUCGGGUAUGUAUACCCGUUUGCAUGUACUUUAUGAAUAAGGAUCGGCUAACUCCGUGCCAGCAGCCGCGGUAAUACGGAGGAUCCGAGCGUUAUCCGGAUUUAUUGGGUUUAAAGGGAGCGUAGAUGGAUGUUUAAGUCAGUUGUGAAAGUUUGCGGCUCAACCGUAAAAUUGCAGUUGAUACUGGAUAUCUUGAGUGCAGUUGAGGCAGGCGGAAUUCGUGGUGUAGCGGUGAAAUGCUUAGAUAUCACGAAGAACUCCGAUUGCGAAGGCAGCCUGCUAAGCUGCAACUGACAUUGAGGCUCGAAAGUGUGGGUAUCAAACAGGAUUAGAUACCCUGGUAGUCCACACGGUAAACAAUGAAUACUCGCUGUUUGCGAUAUACUGCAA